rnacentral:rRNA from 1 species
GACGAACGCUGGCGGCGUGCUUAACACAUGCAAGUCGAACGGAAAGGCCCUGCUUUUGUGGUGUGCUCGAGUGGCGAGCGGGUGUGUAACACGUGAGUAACCUGCCCUGUACUUUAGGAUAACUUCAGAAAACUGUGGCUUAUACCGGAUAGUAGUUCCUCCUGCAUAGUUGGGGUUGGAAAGUUUCGUCGGUUGGGGAUAGACUCGCGGCUGAUCAUCUUGUUGGUUGGGUAGUGGCUUACCAAGGCUUUGCCGGUUAGCCGGCCUGAGAGGGUGACCGGCCACAUUCGGAGUGAGAUAGGGACGGGACUCAUACGGGCGGCAGACGUGGGGAAUAUUGAACGAUGGACGGAAGCCACCCGCACCAAGGCCGCGUGCGGGAUGAAGGACUUUGGGUUGAAAACAGACUUCGCCUGUGAAGAACCGUGAGUGACGGUAAUGAAUGAAGAAGCACCGGCUAACUACGUG